ensembl:lncRNA
GGGGCUUCCGUGUCGGGGGGGAGGAAGGGGGGAGGGCGAAGGGCGGCGCUGCCCCAUAACUGCCCCAUAGAUACCCCAUUGCUGCCCCAUAAGUGCCCCAUAGAUACCCCAUUGCUGCCCCAUAACUGCCCCAUAACUGCCCCAUAGAUACCCCAUAGCUGCCCCAUAGCUGCCCCAUAACAGCCCCAUAGAUGCCCCAUAGAUACCCCAUAGCUGCCCCAUAACUGCCCCAUAGCAGCCCCAUAGAUACCCCAUAGCAGCCCCAUAGAUACCCCAUAGCUGCCCUAUAGAUGCCCCAUAGCUGCCCCGUAAGUGCCCAUAACUGCCCUAUAGAGGCCCCAUAACUGCCCUAUAGAUGCCCCAUAACUGCCCUAUAGAUACCCCAUAGCUGCCCCAUAGAUACCCCAU